AGAACGAACGCUGGCGGCAUGCCUAAUACAUGCAAGUCGAACGAACUCUUCGGAGUUAGUGGCGCACGGGUGCGUAACGCGUGGGAAUCUGCCCCUUGGUUCGGAGUAACAGUUGGAAACGAUUGCUAAUACCGGAUGAUGACGAAAGUCCAAAGAUUUAUCGCCAAGGGAUGAGCCCGCGUAGGAUUAGCUAGUUGGUGAGGUAAAGGCUCACCAAGGCAACGAUCCUUAGCUGGUCUGAGAGGAUGAUCAGCCACACUGGGACUGAGACACGGCCCAGACUCCUACGGGAGGCAGCAGUAGGGAAUACUUAGGACAAAGUGGGGACGUAAAAGGCCUAGGAAUUCCCGAGACAAAUCGCCGGCGUGACGUGAUGAAGGCCGUUAGGGUUGUAAAGCGUAAGUUUU
rnacentral:rRNA from 1 species